GACGAACGCUGGCGGCGUGCUUAACACAUGCAAGUCGAGCGGUAAGGCCCUUUCGGGGGUACACGAGCGGCGAACGGGUGAGUAACACGUGGGUGACCUGCCCUCAGCUCUGGGAUAAGCCUGGGAAACCGGGUCUAAUACUGGAUAUGACUCCAUGACGCAUGUUGUGGGGUGGAAAGCCUUGUGCGGCUGAGGAUGGGCCCGCGGCCUAUCAGCUUGUUGGUGGGGUGANGGCCUACCAAGGCGACGACGGGUAGCCGGCCUGAGAGGGCGACCGGCCACACUGGGACUGAGACACGGCCCAGACUCCUACGGGAGGCAGCAGUGGGGAAUCUUGCGCAAUGGGCGAAAGCCUGACGCAGCGACGCCGCGUGAGGGAUGACGGCCUGGUUGUAACU
rnacentral:rRNA from 1 species